rnacentral:rRNA from 1 species
UUAAGCAAAGAAGAGCGCAGGGUGGAUGCCUUGGCACUAAGAGCCGAAGAAAGACGUGAUAAGCUGCGAAAAGCUGCGGGGAGAUGCAAAUAAUCCUUGAUCCGCAGAUGUCUGAAUGGGGAAACCCGGUACGAAGAACUCGUAUCAUCCAUACGCCAAUCCAUAACGUAUGGAGGGGAACCCGGUGAACUGAAACAUCUAAGUAGCCGGAGGAAGAGAAAGAAACAUCGAUUUUGUUAGUAGCGGCGAGCGAAAGCGAAAGAGGCCAAACCGGAGUGCGUGCACUCCGGGGUUCGGACCGCAUUUAAGAUUCAGUGAUUCUAGCAGAAAGGUUUGGGAAAGCCUGCCGGAGAGGGUGAAAGCCCCGUAAGCGAAAGGAGAACUGACUGAGCGGGAUCCAGAGUACAUCGAGACACGAGAAACCUUGAUGGAAUGAGCGGGGACCACCCCGUAAGCCUAAAUACUACUUAGUGACCGAUAGCGCAUAGUACUGUGAAGGAAAGGUGAAAAGGACCCCGGGAGGGGAGUGAAAGAGAACCUGAAACCCUGUGUUUACAAGCUGUGGAAGUUCUUUAAAUGAACAACCGCGUACUUUUUGUAGAACGGUCCGGCGAGUUGCGGAUACUGGCAAGGUUAAGCACUUAAGGUGCGGAGCCGAAGGGAUACCAAGUCUUAACAGGGCGUUAAGUCAGUAUACGCAGACCCGAAACCGGGUGAUCUAUCCAUGUCCAGGUUGAAGUUGUCGUAAAAGACAAUGGAGGACCGAAGCCACAUCCGUUGAAAAGGGUGGGCAUGAGGUGUGGAUAGGGGAGAAAUUCCAAUCGAACCCGGAGAUAGCUGGUUCUCCUCGAAAUAGCUUUAGGGCUAGCCUCGAUUUAGUCUUAUGGAGGUAGAGCACUGAAUUUCCGCGGGGGCGUCAAAGCUUACCAAAGAAUAUCAAACUCCGAAUGCCAUGUAGAUGAUGAUCGGGAGUCAGACUGCACGAGAUAAGUUGGGCAGUCAAAAGGGAAAGAGCCCAGACCACCGGCUAAGGUCCCAAAGUGCGUGUUAAGUGGAAAAGGAUGUGGGAAUUCGAAGACAACUAGGAUGUUGGCUCAGAAGCAGCCAUACAUUCAAAGAGUGCGUAACAGCUCACUAGUCGAGAGUUCCUGCGCCGAAAAUGUCCGGGGCUGAAACACGACACCGAAGCCGUGGACUCGCAAUGCGAGUGGUAGAGGAGCAUUCUUAAAACCGACGAAGCUGUACCGAAAGGAGCAGUGGAGGGAUAAGAAGAGAGAAUGCCGGAAUGAGUAGCGAGAGAAAGGUGGGAAUCCUUUCGGCCGAAUAUCUAAGGUUUCCAGAGUAAAGCUGAUCUGCUCUGGGUAAGUCGGGGCCUAAGCACAGGUCGCAAGACGUAAGCGAUGGAUAACAGGUUUAGAUUCCUGUACCACGCAUUAUCAGAACUGUAGGGACGCAUGUGGAAAGCACGAGCCGGGAAUGGAAAGACCGGUACAAGCGGGGUAGGUGUACAAUAGGCAAAUCCGUUGUAUAAUCCGAAGACGUGAUGUGGAGCGAAAUAAAGUAGUGAAGCGUGUGAGCCAUGUGCCGAGAAAAGCUGCUAUUGUGUAAUGCGUGCCCGUACCGUAAACCGACACAGGUGGAUGAGGAGAGAAUCCUAAGGCCGGCGGAAGAAGCAUUGUUAAGGAAUUCGGCAAAAUGACCCCGUAACUUCGGGAGAAGGGGUGCCUGCGAGAGCAGGCCGCAGAGAAUAGGCUCAAGCAACUGUUUAGCAAAAACACAGGUCUAUGCGAAACCGAAAGGUGAAGUAUAUGGGCUGACGCCUGCCCGGUGCUGGAAGGUUAAGAGGAGAGGUUAGCGCAAGCGAAGCUUUGAAUUUAAGCCCCAGUAAACGGCGGCCGUAACUAUAACGGUCCUAAGGUAGCGAAAUUCCUUGUCGGGUAAGUUC